UACAGAGGGUGCGAGCGUUAAUCGGAUUUACUGGGCGUAAAGCGUGUGUAGGUGGCUACCUAAGUCGAUUGUGAAAUCCCUGGGCUCAACCUGGGAAUUGCAGUCGAUACUGGGAAGCUCGAGUUCGGUAGAGGACGGCGGAAUUCCCGGUGUAGCGGUGAAAUGCGUAGAUAGCGGGAGGAACACCGGUGGCGAAGGCGGAUCUCUGGGCCAUUACUGACGCUGAGGAGCGAAAGCGUGGGGAGCGAACAGG
rnacentral:rRNA from 1 species